rnacentral:misc_RNA from 1 species
UUUCUGUUAUAAAUUAUUCAUAAAUUUUAUUGGAGAAAACAAGGAAAAUUUUAACAAAAUAUGCCAAAUUAAGACCUUAUCAACAAAUCAGCUCCAUAAGUUAUAUGUUAAGUGAAAAAAACCUUACAUCUGUGAAGUCCGAAACCACCAAAAUUGGAACACAAAAACCACUCUAAUUAAUACCUGUAGGCCUAUGUCAAGUGCACGCAGCAACAUGCAUACACCCUCAGACUAGGCAGCCAAUUAUGCUAAAAUUGACCUGACAUGAGCAUGAUUACAGUAGCACAAACUCAAAUUAAUUAAAUCGAUUGGCAUAAUGAUGCUGGAUUUAAAUAUCAAUCCAAUGAGAAACAAAUAGGAAAACACCAAAGAGAAG